UUUUCUUUAUUUUUUUUCUCGUUUUCUAUCGGCAAAGUUUAUCCACCUUCAAUGAUUUCCUCUUUUUUCUUUAUUUUUUUCUCGUUUUCUAUCGGCAAAUUUUUCACAUCGCGUUUUCUUUCAAUGAUUUACUCCGUUUUCUUUUCUUUUUUUGUUUUCUAUUGGCAAAGUUUUCCACCAUGUCCCCUUCAAUGAUUUCCUCUCCCUUUUCUUUAUUUUCUGAUCAGUUUUUU